CUGCUCUGAUGAAUUGGCCGCAGAAGAUGGGAACCGGGAAUCACAAGAAGACUUUCCAGCAGAAAUCUUCCUUAUGAAGAAGCAACAGAUUAGCUACACCAUAUUGAUAAAGGUGUUGCACAAGCUAAAAUUUGUCAUAUAUAUUUAGUUCAUCUGAGUGGGGAAGGGAAAAAGGGAUUGCAUACCAAACAGAAUUUCUCAGGACUACUAUGUUUUCUGGUUAUUAGAUUUUAUUAAUUUUGUAAAUUUCACAGUUACACCGCAAAACAUACACCUUGUAUGGUAUGACUGGUCUGAGAUUUUGUACUAAGUACACUCUUUCCACAUUAAAAACAUUAAUGGUCACUAUACUUUUUAGCAAAAAUUUCCAAGUUAUUCACUAAACUUCACUUUUUUCCAAGCGGGUCGUUGAGCUCAAACUUUGUAACAAUAUUUGUUACAAUUUAGUCAUUCCAUCUAGGUCUGUUUGGUUGGCUAACAGAAAAAUUAAUGUGCCAGUUUAGUUGGCAAAUAGCUAGAUUGUCAUGUCGCGUCUUUUGUUAAUCAAGCUGACAAUAUAGAUGGAGACAUCAAGUUGUUAAAAAGUUAAGUUUAAUCGCACCCUCUCCUCUAUUUUCAAACUUAAUUCUAAUUAUGAGAAGCAAAUAAAUUUGAAUUAUUAUAGUUUAAAUCUUGCCAAACGCCAGACAUUGAGCACUGAAAAUAUGAAUUUAAAGUCGAAUGCACAGAACAGAUUGGACCCUUCAAUCAAUCCCAGUUCAGAACCAGCUAAAAUUACCCAAAAAUAGAAAGAAAAAGAAUUAUCACUACUACGACACACAGAAAAUGCAAAUGCAUCCCAUUUACAAAAAUUUUAUCAUCCAAAUACUAGGAAAGUUCCCUUAUCAAAACGAUUAUAUAGUUGUUGACAUAUAAAAAUUCAGCCCAAAUCGAACGGCCCAAGGAGUGAAACCCAAUUGGAGGAUCCCCAAAUCAGAUAACCCAAAAAACGAAGCCCAAUCAAACAAAUCAAGAUGAAGGCCCAAAUAGGGAGGCCCAAGAACGCGGUAACGCGAUCGCCCAAGCGUGCAAGUCGCCCAGAAUCUGAGCGAAUGGAGUGCCAUACAGUCGCCCAGAGCUGUUACUCUAUUCUCGUCCAAACCUUCAAGUCGCCCAAGGUCUUAACAAACAUAAAGCGUCGUGGUUAUCAAGAAGUGCUGUUAUCAAAGCAGUUAUUAAAGCACCCUAUCACGUUCCACGAUUCAAGGAAUUCAAUCGAAAGCGGUUAAACGAUGAAGAGUAAUGGCAGCAGUUAAAAAAGGCGAUUUUCAUGACAAGUUGGCCAUUACGAGGAAAGUGGGCAGUUAUAGGACGAUCAAGCAGUUUUUAGGCGGUUGAUCACAAAGUGAUCGUCCAUGAAGUAUAAAAGGGAGAAAAGACAUAGAGCAAAAGACCGAAUCAAAAACUCUCGAAUAGAGAACAUGUAAUUUUAAUUUCCUUAGCUUAGACUUAAACACUUUUCUUUCAAUAACUCGUGUGCUUGCACCCCCUUGGAGGCACAUUGUUUUUAAUUUCCAAUUGUAAAGUCAUCGCCAAUAAAAGAACACCUCUUUUUGGGACUUUGUCUCAAGAGAUUUGUCCCUUACACAAUCGUCUGAUCCUUUUUAAUUGUUAGCGACUAACCCGCGCGAAACAAUUUGGCACGCCCAGUGGGACAGUGGUGUUUGGUGUUGAAAGUACAAAAGGUGAAACAAUAUGCCUCAGAAAUCCGAUAAGGAAGCAGCAAGUCAGGGAGGAAUUCAGUCUGUGAUCGAGCGAUAUAAGGAGCAGCAUGCCUCUCCACGAACAGAUGGACAGAAUCAGAGCGGUAACAGUCGUUAUGAACCAAUGACGGAGUUGAGUCCUCGAACCAUGCGUGCAUUACUUGGAGAACUCACACAAGACGUCGUUGAACAGGUAAAUCUUCGAAGUAUUCAUAAUAUGAAAAGAUUUACCCAAAAUGGGAAUGAACACUAUGACAACAUGGCUAAACAACUAAACACGUUGAACAAAACAAUGAAUAAGUUAGUAGGCCAAAUAUGUCAACCGGUUAUACCUCUUGCAAAUCACUUUCAAAUUAGGACAAUUGUGGGACAUAAUCUCUCAGUCCUAAAUCCGAAUCAAGGGGUAAAAUCACUUUCUGGUCCCUUUACUUCAAACCAAGGGGGUACUGCAGUGCCAAAUCAGAACAAUGGUAGUGGUACGCCUAACUUGGGGGGUAAUCAAAACAUAAGAGAUAAUGUCCUAAACAAUGGACAACACACCCCACGUGUUAAUGAGGGAAUAGAUGUUCAGGCUAAUGGUAAUGGCCCUAAUUAUGGUAAUUUUGUUGCCAAUCAAGGACCAAACAUCAGGCCUCAUGCAAAUCAACCGGUUAAUCAGCCUGUAGGAAUUUCAUAUGAUCCCAACGUCAUGUUGAGGAAUCAGAUUAUGGAAAUCGUACAUGAUCAGAUGGUUUUUGGGGUGUGUCCCGUCAUUAAGCCGACAUACACAAAGUCAUAUCCUGAUUGGGUAGACCAAGCAUAUCCAUGGCCUAGAGGGUACAAAGUGCCAGAAUUCUCACUGUUUACCAGUUUAGGAGAGGUGUCUACUCUAGAACACAUAGGGCGAUUCACAUUGCAAAGUGGUGAUGUAACCGAUUACCAUAAAAUGGGGCUUUUCUCUAGUUCGUUAACAGGAGUAGUUUUCUCCUGGUUCAUCAACUUGCCAGCAAACUCUGUUCAAACAUGGCAACAAUUGGAACAGUUAUUUCACGCUCAGUUUUAUAAAACUGAGUCUGAAGUCACUUUGGCUGAUUUGGCGAAUCUACGUCAAAUGCUAAACGAAUGGGCAAAAAGUUUUCUCCAAAGGUUCAAGACAGCAAGAAGCAAGUGUUUUGUACCUCUGCCCGAAAAAGAAUUUGUCAAAAUUGCUCAGGGCUGCUUGAGCUUUGAUUUAAAGAAGAAAUUCCAAGACAAGGAAUUUUCUGACCUUUUCCAGUUGAGUGCGAAUGUGAUCAGGUAUGAACGACUGAUAAGAGAGGAAGAACAGAUGAAAAAUUCUAGUAAAAGGACUUAUUACAAAGAUCAAAAUUUUGAUGUUCAUACCAUCAGUGACGAGUCAUACGAUCAGGCCGAAAUGUGUUUGGCCGAAUUGGUUAAAGGAGAAACAUAUACUUGUCCCAUAAUGGCCAAGUCUAGACCAUCGGGCAAAGAUGAGCCCAUAAAAGAUGGAAACAUAAAGGUUAGAACGUUCUCGUUCGAUGUGACCAAAGUUGACCUUAUAUUUGAUAAAUUAUAUAGGGAUAAGCAGAUAAAGUUGAGCGAUAAGCACCCUGAACAAAUUAAGGGUAAAAAAUAUUGUAAGUGGCAUAAUGCAUGGUCACAUUUGACUAACAAUUGCUUGAUUUUCCGCCAUGUAUUGCAGGAUACCAUUAAAUCAGGACGAAUUAUGUUCGAUGAUAAGAAGAUGGCAGUGGACGAAAAUCCUUUCCCACAGCCACUUGGAGUAAACAUGGUGACAUCUAGAUUCAAAAACAAGUUGCCAAAAUUCAAGUUGGUCGUAUAUGAUGGAGAAGAGGAUCCUAGACCACAUCUUAGCGUCUUUGAACGAAUCAAGGGGAAAGAACCAAAAAAGGACGAAGACGCCCUGUGUGCAAGGUGUAAAAGAGAAGUGAAUAGAAAUACGGAGAAACCAGGGACAUGGCAGCAUCCUCAUCGCCCUACCUUCUUCCCAAACACUCAGCCUGGUAGAGGACAAGGUACAUCAUUCUAUAGAGGACCGCCUUUUGAGAGGCAGUUCAGGCCAGCAGAUAAUGGAAGAACAUUCAGGCCGCAACCUCGUCGGCCAAAUGUAUGGCAUUCAUUCUAGUACAAUGCAGGAAGGGCAAUACCCUUCGAUGAGAUGACUAGGACCCAACAAAGACGUUUCCAACGAAACUACGGACGGAUGAUGAGGCAGUAACAGGGAGUGUCACAUCCUAAAGCGCCUAAACUACUCAAGGUAGCCAAUCAAAAUGUCCUCAAAAAUAGUGAAGAGACCGGUACAGAUGAAUCAAUGAAGGAACUGCCAGAAACUUCUUCUGGGAGAUCAAAGUUCGAGCGAGACAGAAGGGAUGGAGAAGAUCAAGAUCAGCCCCUUACCAUCCAGUUUGGUACGUUACCUCCUGUCGUGGCCAAUAAUUACUUACUGGCCAAUGAAUUCAAGAAUAAAGAAAAAGAAGAAGAGAUGGAGGACAACGAAGGAGAAGCUUGCGUGCUGGUAUGUGAAGAAGGCCAGACUUCUAGAGAGGCCUACAACGAUGAAGAAGACGACGGGAUGACAGACAUUGAAGAAGAAAUCGACCUAGAAGCAGAAAGAAGAAAGAGAGGAGUAUCACGCAAUACUCUGUUGAAGCAACUACAUCGAGAGGGAGUUCGCGAAGUAGACUUGUUGGGGAAACCAUCUGGACGUCCUUUCAAUUUCUACGUACUGUACGGGACACCCAAAAGGAAGAAGAGAGUGCCUCGCUCUGAAAAGUAUGGGUCACCUCCAAGAAUAAUGCCCCCUCCCGCAGGUUGGGUAAUUGAUGAGGAAGUAUUAGAAAGAAGUAGGAAGGAAGUUCAGGAGACAAAGGAUCAGCGUGAUAUACUGCAUGUCGACUUAUCACAGGUGGAUAAUUCGAUGGAAAACAAGCAGGAAGUAGAAAUAGAGGCUGCCGAAAAAGUUAUUUUUAAACGGCCAGCCAUGAAAUUGACUAAACACUUGAGGCCAUUAUACGUUAAAGUUCUAGUUAACGGCGUUCCAGUGGCAAAAGUGUUUGUCGACAAUGGAGCAGCUAUAAACACCAUUCCAUCUAGGAUGAUGAGGAAGUUCGCAAAGACAGAGGGUGGCAUGAUUCCUACAGAAGUCAUCCUCACUAGCUUCAAUGGAGGAGCAACUUCAGCUAAGGAAGUUAUGCCAUUGGACAUAACUAUAGGGAUGACUAAUAGGACCACUGUCUUCUUUGUAAUAGAUGGUCCUACUAGUUACAAUGUGCUACUAGGAAGAGAUUGGAUACACAGAAGUCGCUGUAUACCCUCAUUGCUCCAUCAAUGCCUAAUCUUUUGGAAUAACAAAGACGAAGCAGAGGUGGUACAGGCCGAUCAUAGGCCUUUUGUCGCAGAAGCAAACUCGGUGGAAAAGUUCAUGUACAAAGGAAACUAUGGACCUGUCAGGGUAGUACAAGACGGGGAAGAAACUCAGGUUGUCACGCAAAGCGAAGAACCGUUCUCAGUGGACGCACUCACUGAGAUGUUCAAACAGAUGAGGCCAAAUAUAGUGGUCCUGGAAGAGCCAGUGAUUGGUAAAAGAAUAAUCAAGGAGUCUUGAAUGGAUUAUGAGUUAUGAAAGCAAAUGGCCGACAUUCAGGCCUUCAAAGCCAGACUGAUGGCUUUCAAUAAGGAAUGUAAUGACAAGGUGAAGGAAGAGACUGCCCUAAAAGUGCUGAAGGACAAGUUGGCAGUAUUCGAGUUAGAGCAAAGCAUUGGCCGAGAAGUCAACAAGGUGGACUGUUUAGAAGAGGAAGUACUUAUAAGGGAACUGGACGACGAAGUGAUGCGGAUUGCCAAACCUGGAUACGCUCAAGCACAAGACCCUCUGAUCAAAGUAAAUAUUGGCAAUGAAGGAGAAGACCGUCCAACAUUCAUCAGCCAGAUGCUCGACCAAGAGGUUAGUAACAAAUUAAUCGCUUUGCUAAAAGAGUACAAAGAUUGUUUUGCUUGGGAAUAUGAACAAAUGCCUGGUUUAGAUAGAGACAUGGUGGAACAUAGGUUACCAACUAAGCCUAACUUUAAACCGCAUAGGCAACCUCCUAGACGUUUUGCUCCCAAUGUACUCCCUGAAAUCAAGAAAGAGAUAGAGCGAUUAUUGAAAGUAGGUUUUAUUAGAACAGCCAGAUAUGUCGAAUGGUUGUCCAAUGUCGUGCCAGUACUAAAAAAGAAUGGUAAACUAAGGGUGUGUAUAGACUUUAGAAAUUUAAACAUAGCUGCACCCAAAGAUGAGUAUCCAAUGCCCACGGUGGAUUCUUUAGUAGAUUCAAUUGUCGGACAUGUCAUGUAUUCUUUCAUGGAUGGGUAUUCAGGAUACAAUCAAAUUUAUAUAGCUGAAGAAGACAUACACAAAACUGCCUUUAGAUGCCCUGGAUCUCUAGGAUGUUUUGAAUGGGUGGUUAUGCCUUUCGGCCUAAAAAACGCAGGGGCAACUCAUCAAAGGGCAAUGAAUUUAAUCUUUCAUGAUAUGAUAGGCAAGUUUGUUGAAGUGUGUAUAGAUGACAUAGUAGUCAAGUCCAUUAAAGAAGAGGACCAUUUCGAACAGUUAAGAUGUUCGUUUGAGCGAAUGAAGCAAUAUAAGCUAAAGUUGAAUCCCUUGAAUUAUGCAUUCGGUGUUAAUGCAGGAAAUUUUCUUGGUUUCUGAGUACAUAAGAGAGGGAUUGAACUUGAUAAAAAUAAAGCGAAGGCCAUUUUAGAGGCCAAACCACCUAGCAACAAAAAAGAAUUGCAAAGGUUUCUAGGCCAAGUAAACUUUUUAAGACGCUUUAUUUCUAACUGUGCAGGGCGAACUAAAAUCUUUUCGUCGCUCUUAAAUCUGAAAAAUCAGGACGAAUUCUUCUGGAAAGAAGAACAUCAAAAGGCUUUUGAAAGCCUCAAGAUAUAUCUAUGAAGUCCACCAGUGUUGGUGUCCCAACCAAGGACGGCCAAUGAAAGUGUAUGUAUCGGCUGAAAAAGAAUCAAUAGCUGGAAUGGUCGCACAAGAUCAAUUUGGUGAAGAAAGGGCAAUUUACUAUUUAAAUAGACGGUUAACGAAAUGUGAAUGUAAUUACUCUGCUAUCGAAAAAUUAUAUCUUGCAUUGUAUUUCACAUGUACAAAAUUAAGGGCUUAUUUACGGUCCGUAACCGUUUAUUUAAUUUCUAAAGUAAAUUUAGUUAAGUAUAUGUUCUCGCGCCCUAUUUUACACCAAAGGGUGGGCCUUUGGACACUAGCUUUAUCAGAAUUCGAAAUACAAUAUAUACCUCAAAAGGUAGUAAAAAAUUAGGCUUUGGCUAACUUUCUAGCCGAUCAUCCAUGCCUUGACAUGCCUGAAGAAAUCGAACUAGAAAUCAAUUCGUUCGAGUUAAAACCUUGGGUGUUGUAUUUCGAUGGGUCAAAAACCUCUAAAGGUGUAGGAGUAGGAGUAGCAUUGAUUAAUCCUUUAGAGAUUUGCUACAAGUUCGCAUUCACUUUAGACAGAAUGUGCACCAACAAUCAGGCCGAAUAUGAAGCCUUAAUUGUAGGCCUAGAACUAAUGAUAAAUAUGAGAGUAAGAAAUAUGAUCGUUAGGGGCGAUUCUCAAUUGGUGAUCCAUCAAUUGAUCGGUGAUUUUAAAUGCCAAAGUGAUUCCAUUCUAAGUCAAUAUGAGAUCGCCCAAGAAUUAUUAGAGGAAUUCGAUCAAGUAGAACUUCAAUGCGUUAAUAGGAUAUUAACGACGUGGCAAAUGAAUUAGCCCAAAUGGCCUCAGGGUACUCAAAGAUUUUGAAUUGGAAGUCUACUUGUAAGUAUGGAAUCAUAUUGCCUGUGACUCAAAGAAGGGUGAGAAAGAUUGAACUUCACUGCAUACAAGAUGGAGAUGCAAUGGAUUGGAGAACAGAGAUUAAAGGGUUCCUUAAAGAACCUAAUGGAGGGAUUAGUAGGAAAAUGAAGCUGUGUUUGCUGAACUAUACACUAAUAGAUGAAGAGUUGUUUAAGAAACGCUCUGAUGGUGUAUUACUAAAGUGUGUAAGUUUGCAAGAGGCCAAGACGAUCAUGGCUGAGGUGCACGAAGGAAUAUGUGGAGCUCAUCAAGCUGGCCAAAGGAUGAGAUGGUUAAUUAUUAGGAGUGGAUAUUUUUGGCCAAAGAUGGGAGAAUUAUGCGUUCAGUAUGCAAAGAGUUGUUUAGUAUGCCAAAAAUAUGGUCCAAUACAAAGGGCGCCAGCACGAGAGAUGGCACCUAUUAUUAAACCUUGGCCGUUCAAGGGUUGGGCGAUAGACCUGAUAGGGAAGAUUUAUCCCCCAUCGUCCAAGCAACAUACUUUUGUUAUAGUUGCAAUCGACUAUUUCACCAAAUGGGUAGAGGCGGUACUUUUGAAAGAGAUCACCCAGAAGAAUGUUAUAAAGUUUAUCCGUGAUCACAUUAUUUAUAGGUUUGGAAUUUCACAAACGUUAAUGGUAGAUCACGGAACAUCUUUGAAUGGGGAUCAAGUGAACAAAUUUUUGAGCGAGUUUGGGGUUAAAUUAGUAAACUCCACACCAUACUACGCUCAAUCCAAUGGACAAGCAGAAUCUUCUAAUAAGAUUCUAAAAAAUAUUAUCAGAAAGAUGAUAGAUGAAAAUGCCAGAAAUUGGCACGAAUGUCUGAACAAGGUCUUAUGGGCUUCUAGAACAUCACCUCGGUCAAGUACCAAAAUUACUCCUUUCCAACUUGUUUAUGGACAGGAGGCCGUUUCGCCUAUGGAAAUCAAUGUGUAAUAGAUUAGAGUGUGCUUGCAACAUAAGUUGAAUGAUGAUGAGUAUGCCGAAUCACUAGUUCAAAAUUUAUUAAGGUUAGACGAAUUAAAGUUGGACGUUUUAGAUAGAUUGCAAGUUCAAAAACAAAGAAUGACAAAGUUUUAUAAUAAAAAAGUCAUAGCCAAGUCGUUCAGUCUGGGUGAACUAGUUUGGAAGACAAUACUCCCUUUGGAUAGCAAGGAUCCAAAGUACGGGAAGUGGUCGCCCAAUUGGGAAGGACCAUACAAAAUAAACAGUGUGUUGCCCAAUGGAGCGUUUCACUUAGAAGAUUUAGAUGUCACCAAGCACGUGAGAUUCAUUAACGGCAAAUAUUUGAAAUAAUAUGUUCAUUCUUUAUGGGAAUGUGAACAGAUAAAAUCAUAAUCAAAUAUGUUGAACGAUUAAAUGAUAAUAAGGUCAGAGCGAAAUACGUUCAAAUGAAGUCCUUUAUUAUCAAACGUUCAUUACAAAAAUACAAAUAAUGGAUGCUCUACGAAAUACAAUUAAAAGUAAGCUAAUCUCCCGGUUGAUCGCUGAGUAAGCCUCACACCGCCUUCCUAAAUACAUCGCUGCAAUGGUGGGAUCGCCGAGUAAGAGGGUGGACUGGCCUCACCACCUUCCUAAAUGCAUCGCUGCAAUGGCGAGCAAAGAGGCUGAGAAGCACUCUCAGCAAGUAAAGUGGCCCGCAAGCAUCCCAAAAAUUGCCUUCUAUCAUCAACUCCUUGUAAAGGACAAAGAGACGAUGGGAAGAACUUCGAUGGUAAAAACUUCCCUGCUGGCCAGAAAAUAUUUCUUAUACCUCCCACACCAAAGGUGACAUCAAGGUAAAUAGAAAAAUGGGCGGACUAAACAGUCCAUUUUGGAUCGGAUUGAUUGUCAGAAUGCCAAGCAAUGGCAGCAAAUUAGUUUCGAAGAAGAAAAUGAAGAUGAAGAUGGAAGAUGAAAAAUGCGAAGCAUUUAUAGGGGGUGGAGAUGAAGAGACAGAAUAUGAACAGCCACAUUUCUGCCUAGUAAAUGGAAUUAAAUAGCCCAAAGUCUUGAAAAAAGUGGUGGAAAUAUCAAAAGAAAAUGGACAAGAUUUUUAGCACAAAACAGUUAAAUGCUUGAAGAAUUGACGACCAAAAAACAAAUGUCAAAUAAAUGCACAAGAAGUUAAUGUUCAUUAAUGAUGAACAAAGCUACAAAGGGAAAAUCAAAUUACAAAAGAAAAAAGAUAUCAUAUGUCUUAAUUACAGUCCACCCCAUACUGAACGAAUUCGUUCCUUAAGUUUUUCCCAAUCCUCGUUCUACCGAGAGGAAGUGAUGUUCAAUUCGGCCUUGACAUCAUCAUCAACUUCCAACUUCUUGUACUGCUCGACCAAGGACUUACUUCGCUCAAUUCCCUGGGAGGCGUUGCUCUUUUUAACAGCCAUUCUCACCCUGCAGUCGUCCAUUUUGGUUUGAAGUUCCUUCAUCUGAGCAACCAAAUUAACCAUCAAAGAGUCUUCAACCAUGACUUCGGAAGAGAUUUCUUUCAACUCGUCCUCAACCUUGUUAAUCUCCAUACACAAAGACUCUUUCUCAACUACGGCUCGAAGAUAUUGAGUACUUUUGGCCUUUAGUUCAGCAUUCUUGGCCAGCAAAGAAAGGACCUCGGAGUGGAUAACCUUCAACAUCGCUUUAAAAUCGGCAGAAAGAUUGAGCGAUGGAAGCAUCAGUGCUUGCUCCAACUUCGCAUUCAAAUGCUCAAAUUUAUCCUUGUGUCUGGCAGCACUAGCCCUUCCAAUGUCCAUAUCCAUGAAGGACACGUACUCAAAUAUCGACUCCUUGAGGAACUUCAAAUCUUCCUCUGAAGAAGCAGUAGGACGAUCAGAUGGAGCAGGGCGAGACGUCUGGACUUGCCCCCAGGAAGCGAACAAGUCUUGGAUAGAACGCACAAUCUUGUCAGCAUCCUGCAAAGAAAGUUGCCAAUAUUAAAGAUUCUCACUACAAUGAACAAGAUAGAAAUAAAAGUGAAGCAAAGAUUACCUCAUCAACAAUCGUGGAAGAUGGCAUGCCCUUAGCCAAGUCUGCCACCAACGACUCCUCCAUUCAUGAGGACUUACCCUUAUCUGAGCGAGAAGAUGUUGCCACAACGAGCGGACUCAUAGGAGUAUCUGCAAAACUCAAGAGCAACAAAUCAGAAACCAACAGCACAAGCAAAGGUAAGACAUCAAAAAAAAUUGAAUUACCUUCUGCUUCGAUGUUUGGGGGGUUGACGCCCUGGGAAAAAGGUGGUUCAUCCAAGGGUUGUGAUGAGGACUCCGGAACUAAAGAUGUCUCUUUAAGCGUAGCCCCCUCAUCAACUGGUUUGGAUGAAGCAGCCUCAGCGGAGGAUGAUGGAGUAGGAGUUGUCGAUGCCAAAGCCUUUGAAGGAGAGGCUGAACUUUUCUGAGAAGUCCAAAAGAUCAUUAGCACACAGAAAAAUUUCAAGUAAGGAAAAGUAUGCUUGUGAGUAAACCAAUUUAAUUACCUUCCUCCUGACGAUGAGAGGGGCAUCAUCAUCAUCAUCAACAUCAUCCUCCAGAAUAGGAGAUGCUGAGGCUGGCCGUUUGCGGCUUGGGGCACUCUUGGCUGUAGUAGGCUUGGCAGGGAGAGAAGAAGAUGGACGAUCAGACUGUUUAGUGCGACGAGAAGGAGAAGGACUCCGAAUGGACAAGGGAGUGACUAAAAUAGGAGGAGGGGAAGAAAUGUUCGGCUGGUCUAGCGAAUGAAAGGCACGAUUGGCGUCAGUCGCAAAUAAUCUACGCUUCACUGACGGUCAGAGCUGUUCAAAAAGUGGGUGAAUGGUGUGGCUAGAAUUGAAGGGGGCUAAUGAAAAAUGGCUGGUUAAAAGAAGAUUGCGAGCAUUUAUAGCCUCUUCCUCCGCCUUAUUAAUAGUAUGAAAACGGUCAAUUAAGUUCCUUGAAUAGCAAGGAGGAACAGGCCAAGUUUGGCCGAAACCAAGCUGGCGAGCAAAAAAUUGGGGAACAUAAAUUUCUACCCCCGCCUUAGCAUUGGUCCCAGUUAAAAUAUCGUGAAAUAGCUCCCUCCCGAUUAAAAACUGGAUCCAAAUAAGUAGGGAGGUGCUUGCGCUGUCUAUAGUGGAGGGGGGAUGUACAUAGUUUGGAGUCAAAAAAUGAGGAAAAUGAAAAAAGGAAGAGAUUGAAUCCAAAGAAUAAAAGAAUGAAAAAAUGUCCCUUCUGGACAUAUUUACAGGAGCCAAGGGCUCCAUGGCUAGCCCAUAACAGCUAGCAGAGGAGCGAGAAAUUGAUGGAGCACCAAGCAAUGGAAAAUAGGAUCUCAACCAUAGUUGAGUGAACCAAAGAAGUCCACUGCCAGUGGGAGAUGCACCAUUCUUCAAUUGAGUUUGAAGAGAGGCCAUGCCUCUAUAAAGGGCAGCCAAAAACAAAGAACAUAAAUUCAAAGGCCUGCCGCGCCCCAAUUCGUGCGCUAUAGGUAAGUAACUCAGGGAGGGCUUUAUGCUUGGCACACACAAAACACAUUUACAAAGCCAAACUAGAAGGAAGGCCAUUCGCUCGGUAUGGGAAGGCUCAGUGCUCGAAUGAUUGUGAAGGGUUUGCAGGCUUGAAUAAGAUUCGGUGUAAUUUUUACCAAACUUUGGGGCGCCACAGAAACCAAGAUACCAGGAAAAAUGGUAUCGCCCAAAGGUGGUAGAUUCACCAGGGCCCCAACAUCCCUAAAGGUAAUAGAAAUGGGGCCAAGAGAGAAAAUAAAGGCAUUAUACUCGGAAGACAAAAAACUCAAAGCAAUCGAAAAAAGUGUUGAAUCAAAAGUAAGGGGGCGAAUAGAGAUUUCUAACAAAUCAGAAAUCUUAGCGCUAUCAAAAAGUGUCUUAGUAGGACCAUGACCCACAAGGUGAGCAUGCCACCUACGGAAAGCUACAUCAGAUUUAGGGCAAGUGCGAAUACCUCUUUCGCGAAGUGGCCCCAGCGGCAGAGAGUUUAGAAAUGGAGGGCCUUGAGUACAAGGAAAUAGCUGACCCAUCGCCGCCUGUUCAACUGCCUCUGCAUUGUUGAAGAAAGGACCUAAGUAGAACUCAUUGCGUUCAACAUCGACGGGCGCGAGAAAACUCGGAGUUAUGUAUGGACGACUCAGGAGUUUUUGAAAGUCAUCAAAACUAAAGGAGUCGCCAGCUUGAGAUUGUGAAGUAGUCAUUUGAGAUGGAACGAAGUUUUUCAGGGUUACGUAGCAGGGAAGCAAAAGAUGAACAGUAAAUCGUGGGAGAAACGCGAAAAAUUUGAGGUGUGAUUUAGUGGUGCAGCGAAAUGGUGUGUUUGGGGAUUAUAAGGGUUUGCAAAACGAUGCACCUUUCCAAGUUAUAGAAGAAAGCAAUGAUUGAAAUUCUUGGAAAUUUCGAAUGUUGCUGGAAACACAAAGUGAAUAUGGCAAAAUUUAAUAAUUAUUAUUAAUUCUGCCAUAUUGGGGGGUAAUUGUUGACACAUAAAAAUUCAGCCCAAAUCGAACAGCCCAAGGAGUGAAGCCCAAUUGGAGGAUCCCUAAAUCAGAUAGCCCAAAGAACGAAGCUCAAUCAAACAAAUCAAGAUGAAGGCCAAAAUAGGGAGGCCCAAGAACGCGGUAACGCCAUCGCCCAAGCUUGCAAGUCUUCCAGAGCUGUUACUCUAUUCUCGCCCAAACCUUCAAGUCGUCCAAGGUCUUAACAAACAUAAAGCGUCGUGGUUAUCAAGAAGUGCGGUUAUCAAAGCAGUUAUUAAAGCAGCCUUAUCAUGUUCCACGAUUCAAGGAAUUCAAUCGAAAGCGGUUGAACGAUGAAGAGUAAUGGUAGCAGUUAAAAAAGGCAAUUUUCAUGACAAGUUGGCCAUUACGAGGAAAAUGGGCAGUUAUAGGAUGAUCAAGCAGUUUUUAGGCGGUUGAUCACAAAGAGAUCGUCCAUGAAGUAUAAAAAGGGAGAAAAGACAUAGAGCAAAAGACUGAAUCAAAAACUCUCGAACAUAUAACAUGUAAUUUUAAUUUCCUUAGCUUAGAUUUAAACACUUUUCUUUCAGUAACUCGUGUGGUUGCGCCCCUUGGAGGCACAUUGUUUUUAAUUUCCAAUUGUAAAGUCAUCGCCAAUAAAAGAACACCUCUUUUUUGGACUUUGUCUCAAGAGGUUUGUCCCUUACACAGUCGUCUGAUCCUUUUUAAUUGUUAGCGACUAACCCGCGCGAAACAAUAGUAACAUUUAAAGAAAAAGAAAAUCUUUGCUACAAUACAGAGGCAUGAACAUAACAACUUUGUAUACCAAGAAAAGGACAGCAAUAAAAUUACUUGAAAAAUUGGGGUGGCUUGUAAUGAAGAAAGGGACCCAGGGAUUAUUCCUCUGCUCCGCAAGAGAACUACAGGGAAAUGCAGUGACGCAAACCCCUGGAAGAGCAACCAUUUUCAUGAAGGAAAAUUCAGCUGUUGGAAAGUUGAUUAGACAGAGGAAAGAAUUGUAAGGCGCCAAGAUAAACCAUUAGAU
rnacentral:lncRNA from 1 species